AGUAAACUGUUCAAUGUUCAGUCAACUCUUUCAGAGUACAUAUGACCCUGGAUGUUUUACUGUGUACAACACGAAGAGACACACGCCCACUUUACACAGUCAGUCGCACAUACACACAUACCGCACACUGUGUGGAAUAACAAGCUCUUGCCGCUUCCCUGGGAUACCCAAAUUGCCCACAACUCUGUAUUGUUAGGGAAAUUCUCCAGUACGCACAGAGAGCGAGUUCAUUUGCAAGUGUGUAGGUGUGUAAAAAACACUCAGUCCUCCUGACGUUCCUGUGGUUUGCCUGAUGCUGUUAACGGUGAAAUGUUGUCAUGAAUGGACGUGCUCAAAGGGAAUACCUGCCUCCAGUUUUAACUGCCAAAUGGCCAAUGGAAAACGUGACUAUAGAUUUUUGAAUGGAAUGCUCUGCAAUGCGGCCAACUCUCGUCUCCAUACACAUAGACGGCGAUGUUCCGAAGAAAUCAAUCAAGCUUUGGACAGCAAAUAAAAGUUCCGCAUAGAAACGGCAUCGCUUCCAAAUUUCCCCUACAUCGCCAAGGGAGACAAAAUGCAAGCUAUCCUUCUUCUGGGAGAACACGCCUGGGUUUCCUUUGUUGACUGAUUAUCCGAGUGUGGAACUACGUGACAGCUUCCCACAAAGGGAGAGGUUACACCUGGUACAUUCUCCGUGAAGGGGAAACGCAAAGGUGCGGUCGUAAAAUCGUAAAUCUUCUGGAGUGCGAACGUAAAGGUCCUGACGGAAAGACAAAGCGUGGGCACUUUGAAGAAGCUCCCUUACUCCCUAUCAUUCCAUCGCACAGAGAUAGGGGACAGGGACAAAGAAGAGGAGCAGGGCAAGAUGCACACAACCCAGUCAGGGCGACGUAGUUCAGCCUGGAGACACAGCCCAGAGCAGCGCAAAAACGCAGCGUGCGACAGAUCAGAACAGUCCGGAACAAUCCAAUCCAGGACCACGGAGAUCAUCACAAACCGGCUCGGAACAGGUAGGAACAGUCCAGAGUAACUGAGAACAACCGGCCCCAGCAUCCAGCCCUGAGCGAUAUAAAACAACAUGGAACGUAUCAAAACUGCUCCACAUCAAGACACAAGGACACUGAAGCUCACAGAGGCUGGUGCUAGAGCACUUCAGCAGUCUAGAGCCAGUCUCAACUAAUUAGUUUGGCACUGGCGUGUACACAGAUGAACACAGAUAGAAAUAUGCGGAAGCAAAUGCCCCCUGCCCUGAGACAGCGAAGGCGCCAUUUUGGCUCCAUCGAGCCAGUUUGUUAGGGCCUGCUUAUCACAGGUGCCUGUUUUUAUUUUGUUCAGCGUAAAACAAUCCAAAGCUUCUCAGAAGAGCAUAGCACAAUCGUGCCACCAGCAAACAGUUUCUUGCAAACCAAACCGAAAAAGAAACCGUAAAUUAGGAUGCGGAUUUUCUCCAUUGAUUGAAGAAAAUGGCGGAGUGACUGAGCUUUCACUUAUAACUCUGGGAGCAAGAGGCCCAGCGAGGUACAGCCCUGAAAAUCUACAACAGUAAAAACGGAGCCCAGAGGCUACGGCAACGGGACACGUGAGGUGCGCACACGCUCAGUUACGUAAUCGCUCGCAAAACACUCGCCGGCCAGUUUGAGGUCAUUCGCUCAUUUUGUUUGUCGGAAGCGGUUGCCAGCGGAGGUAAGUGGCUUGAAGGGGUUGUGUGGGGGAGAGGGCGGCAAAAUCGUUUGCGAGGACGUAUUUUGGACUCUCCUUUCAUAGAGCAGAAGUGUUUACCUGCCAACGUUUCAAGACGACGGGACCCGUUUGCUUCGACGGGUGGUCUGGAUGACCUCACCUCUGGUACGAAUUAGAGUUGAAUCCCCUAGAACUGCCACACGCCUCACACACUGCCAAAGGUAACACAACGCAGAUCUGGAUUCAAUCAGCAAUCAAGCUUUAUUGCACGUUUUACUCCUUAAUCUUCACAAACACAGUUUGACAAGUUCAGAAAACACUAUAAUAACCUGCAAAAACUGUGUGUCUGAAGAAAAAACACACUGAUGUUAUGCAUUUAUACAUACAUUUAACUGUGCGUCAAAGUAAGAGAAAUCCAGGAUGUCAAAAUCCAGUCCUGAGAUAAAACCAAAUAUUAAACCAACUAGCAAAAUAUUCUAUGGGGUUUCAAUAAGAUUUAGAGGAAAAGAAUGUUAAAUUUGGCACUUCACAGAAAAGGAAUCCGGACUGCAACUGCACCCUGUUUCAAAAUAAACCCCUGACUUCCUCAAAAGAGCCAGGAGAACCCACAACAAGAAGCACACCUCAAUAUAUCAUUGGCAUUGUAAAAAGUGUGCCUCCCUUUUUCCAUUUUUGAGUUUGAUACAUGAAGAUUAUAUUAUCAGUUGUACACAAAUCACCACGUGACUAAAAAUGUCGUGAUAUACCAUCUAUUUCUGAUGAUAUUAACUUAGGUAUGUAAUAUAGUUAUUUAAAAAACAUGUAUUUAUAUGUAAUGUUUUUUAUUUAAAAUGUGUUGCAUAAUACAACACCUAAAAUACAGAUAUCAAAAUAUUGUAACUUAUCAUACACCAUUACUGUACAUUUUCCUUUCUUUUACCAAAUAUUUUCUGAGCUCUUUUGUAAUCAUGAAACAGCACU